ACAACUUUUCAGAAGACAUAAGCUUCAUGAUCGGAUCGACUCCAUCUUUGCUCAUGAGGAUUUGCUGGGCUUACGUCAUUCCAGGUGUUCUGUUCGUGCUAACAUUCCACGGCUUUUUCCACGCCAUCCCGAUAACAUACAACAACACGGAUCCUUACCCAGAAUGGGCAAACAUCUUCGGCUGGUGCAUCGCUGCUUUGUCUAUGGUGCAAAUUCCUCUUUGGGCUAUCGUGGCUCUAUAUAACCGGCGAAAUAAUCUCAAAAGCGCAUUUCUACCGACUGAAGACUGGGGACCAAGAGAUCCACAAGUUUUUCGCGAAUACCGUGCACUACGGUGGCCCCUCGAGAAGCCACCUCCACAAAGCCCUCCGGCCCCAAGCCCGACUAAAGUGUUGAAUGUCCCUCAUGAUGCCCCGGCUGCCCCUCAUAAUGCCCC